CGGCCCACGACGCUCUCUCCCUCUCUCGCGCCUAAUUGCCCUAAUUCCCCUUUCUUCACACCUCGCGCAGCUUCGUCGCUCACUCUCAGACUCUCUUCCACUGAACAUUUGAAGAAGAGCGACGGCUUUUCAGAUUGUGGCUGAUAGGGAUUGCAAGUGUCUGAACACCUUUGUCCUGUGCAGCAAACAUGUUUAGUUGAUGUGUUUGGUCUUGGUUGCAUCUUGUUCUUUUGCGUCACUGGCGGAAGACAUCCAUUUGGAGACAAUCCAAAGGGCGAUAGUAAUAUCGAGGAUAAUUCGAUGGAUUUGUCUCCCGUGGAAUUUAUGCCAGAAGUCACAGAUUUGUUCACACGUUUACUGAACCCCCAUCCUGACCUGAGGCCAAAGACAUUGGAGAUGCUUCACCAUCUACAUUUUUGGAAUUAAAAGACGAGACUGUCCUUUCUCCAAGACAUCAGCGACUGGGUAAUAUUGAAAGCUAGGGGAACUAAUCCUGAUCUUCUGGAAAAAUUGGAGAGCAUUGCUUGGUGUGUUUUCGACGAGGAAUGGAACGGAAAGAUAGAUAGUGAAGUCAUUAAGCAUAUGCGUAGGUUCAGGGCCUACUAGUUUGAAAGAGUCAGGGACUUGCUGCGAAUAGUGCGAAACAUGUUUAGCCAUUCCAUAGGACUUCCACCGAAAAUUCAGGAGAUAGUUGGAUUGUCUCCCGAGGAUUUGGACAGCUAUAUCGUGAAACGAUUCCCCAGACUCUUGAUUGAAACGUACAGAUUCAUCUCCAUGCGCUGCGAAGAUGAGGAACGCUCUCCCUUUCUGGAGUACUUCAACUGGUGAUCCCAAUGGUUUAUUAACAAUGAACUUGGCAAUAAUUCGGGUCGAUAAACACAAUUUGCAGGAUGGUUGAUUUCGGCA